AAGAGGCCUGUAGCCGUGGCAACAGUGUUGUCACGGUGAAACGUGGCGGUGCAGGUUUUUGCACAGGUGUCAACUCCAGUCCUGGAGGGCCUCAAGAGUCCUGCAGCUUUCAGAGAUCUCUGAAGCUUUCAAUAUCUAGCAAGUUAUGUUAACUUGCUAGAUAUUGAAAGAGUCUUUCAUCAGGUUAAUUUCACUCUCUGCUACAGUGCAGGUGAAAUUACCGUAAUAAAACGAUACUGGCUGGAAAUCGACGUUGGAAUUUUUCAGACGGCGCGAAGUGUGGUGGAAUUACAGUAUUGUAAUUUGGCUGGAUCAUCGCCGAUCCCCAACACUACAAUAUCAUAACCCCCAGAGUUGGCACAUCUCUGAGACCUAAAGGGACACUUUCAAAGCAGACAAGAGAUGAAGUGCGCUCAAGAGACAUUCACAGCACAGCAACCACUUUAAGAUGAACUGCAUCAUGCAUGAGCUACGACACGCGCCGCACGGAGAGUAUUUGUGGCUCUGUUUCUGUUCAGACACACGCAGACUUGCUUUCAACAGGUGAUGAAAAGCAGGCGAGGAUGCAGAGCGAAGUGUGUCUGACGGGGUCAGCAGGCGUCUUGUGUCUCACUGAGCAACACGCCUGCUGAAGGUCCGGAUUUCUGCAUUUAUUUGAAUCAGUUCAGUGUCGAUGUCCUGUGACGGUUAUAUUCAAUAAAUUGCAAAACAUGUCGAGAUGAGUUUUAUUUUCAGAUUAAAAUUACCUUUUGAAAACAACCUCCUAGCAGGUAUUAAAUGUACUUCCCAUU